GACGAACGCUGGCGGCGUGCUUAACACAUGCAAGUCGAACGAAGUGGCGAACGGGUGAGUAAUACGUGGGUAACCUGCCCUCCUUUUUGGGAUAAGCCUUGGAAACGGGGUCUAAUACCGAAUAAAGGGGGAUGGGCUCGCGGCCUAUCAGUUUGUUGGUGGGGUGAUGGCCUACCAAGGCGGUGAGGGGUAGCCGGUCGGAGAGGGUGACCAGCAUCAUUGGUACUGGGAUACGGCACAGAGUCCUACGGGAGGCAGCAGUGGGGGAUAGUGCACAAUGGACGUAAGCCUGAGGCAGCGACGCCGCGUGGGGGAUGAAGGCUUUCGGGGUGUAAACCGCGUACGCAAGCGAACGGGUAGGUGGAGAAGAAGCGCCGGCUAACUACGUGCCAGCAGCCGCGGUAAUAC
rnacentral:rRNA from 1 species